rnacentral:rRNA from 1 species
GACAGAGGGUGCAAACGUUGUUCGGAAUUACUGGGCGUAAAGCGUGUGUAGGCUGCUACAUAAGCCGGAUGUGAAAGCCCCGGGCUCAACCCGGGAAGUGCACUCGAUACUGCGUAGCUUGAGUCUCGGAGAGGUUGGUGGAAUUCUCGGUGUAGAGGUGAAAUUCGUAGAUAUCGAGAGGAACACCGGUGGCGAAGGCGGCCAACUGGACGAAGACUGACGCUGAGACACGAAAGCGUGGGGAGCAAACAGG